ACGCUCGACACCUACGAGAGGCAGCAGUGGGGAAUAUUGCACAAUGGGGGAAACCCUGAUGCAGCGACGCCGCGUGAAGGAAGAAGUAUUUCGGUAUGUAAACUUCUAUCAGCAGGGAAGAAGAUGACGGUACCUGAGUAAGAAGCACCGGCUAAAUACGUGCCAGCAGCCGCGGUAAUCUGAGCGGGCUGGCAAGGC
rnacentral:rRNA from 1 species